UACGGAGGGUGCAAGCGUUGUCCGGAUUUAUUGGGUUUAAAGGGUGCGUAGGCGGUUCUUUAAGUCCGGGGUGAAAGCCCACUGCUCAACAGUGGAACUGCCCUGGAAACUGGAUGGCUUGAGUACAGACGAGGGUGGCGGAAUGGAUGCUGUAGCGGUGAAAUGCAUAGAUAGCAUCCAGAACCCCGAUUGCGAAGGCAGCUGCCUAGACUGUAACUGACGCUGAGGCACGAAAGCGUGGGGAGCGAACAGG
rnacentral:rRNA from 1 species